rnacentral:rRNA from 1 species
UAUGUGAUCGUCUCUCGCAUAUCAAUAAGCGGAGGAAAAGAAAAUAACAAUGAUUUCCCUAGUAACGGCGAGUGAAGAGGAAAGAGCUCAAAGUUGGAAACUGUUUGGCUUAGCUAAACCGUAUUGUAAACUGUAGAAACAUUUUCCUGGCACGCCGGAUUAAUAAGUCCUGUUGGAACAAGGCAUCAUGGAGGGUGAGAAUCCCGUCUUUGAUCCGAGUAGUUGUCUUUUGUGAUAUGUUUUCAAAGAGUCAGGUUGUUUGGGAAUGCAGCCUAAAUUGGGUGGUAAAUCUCACCUAAAGCUAAAUAUUUGCGAGAGACCGAUAGCGAACAAGUACCGUGAGGGAAAGAUGAAAAGAACUUUGAAAAGAGAGUUAAACAGUACGUGAAAUUGUCAAAAGGGAAGCGUUUGACACCAGUGUUGUUUUUCUGAAAAUCAAUUAAAGAACUGUUUAUGCUAAGUUGUUUAGACUUUAUCAGCUAACUGUUUAGUUUUGAGCUUUUCUUUAAUGCACUUUUCAGUUAACAAGUCAACAUCAAUUUCUUUUGCUGUAAAAAAGCUUGAGGAAGGUGGCUUGAGAUUCGUCUUAAGUGUUUAUAGCCUCUUGCCUAUGCAGUCGGAGAGAUUGAGGUCUGCAGCGUAGAUCCUUCGGGGCUAAAUGCAUUUGUGCUAAGUUAUAACAUUUUAUAGACAACUUGUUGACUAUGAUUUGUCUUGUAGCUUACUCGCUUAUGUUAUUUUACCUACGCUUAGGAUGUUGAAGUCAUCGUAUCGCGC